GGUGUCAUUGGCAGCUACUUGUGAUCUCCAUACCGGAGAACAUUGCUGUCUGGUUUUGUUCAUUGCAGAAGUCUCCUCCCAGCCCUCUUAGACAUGUAGUAGAUUGUUCCCUUGCAACACAUAUGAUGUUAUCUGGGAGAUCUACUGCUACAGCUAAAAAGCUUGCAUGGGUUGCCCUUAAGUGUAAUAUACAAACGGGGUCAUAUGAAUGUGGUUACUACGUCAUGUUUUGGAUGAUGACCAUUAUUCGUGCACAUUACACCAGUGGAUGGGAAACGGUAUUAUUUAGGUUUCAAUUUUAUUUUCCCUAUAGUUUAGAUUUCAAAUACACUAAGUUAAAUCAUUGUAUUUUAUGCAGAGAUUCAAUAGGACUGCUCCAAUUCCAGAGAAGUCACUUCAACUUGUGAGGA